GGGCCUGUAGCUUAGUCAGGUUGGAGCGCUCGACUGAUAAUCGAGUGGUCGCCAGUUCAAAUCUGGCCAGGCCCACCA
rnacentral:tRNA from 1 species